rnacentral:rRNA from 1 species
UAAGGAAUAUUGGUCAAUGGACGCAAGUCUGAACCAGCCAUGCCGCGUGAAGGAUGAAGGUCCUCUGGAUUGUAAACUUCUUUUAUCUGGGACGAAAACGGGAUUUUUAUCUCAAUUGACGGUACCAGAGGAAUAAGCACCGGCUAACUCCGUGCCAGCAGCCGCGGUAAUAAGGAGGGUGCGAGCGUUAUCCGGAAUUAUUGGGUUUAAAGGGUGCGUAGGCGGACUAAUAAGUCAGUGGUGAAAGCCUGCAGCUUAACUGCAGAAUUGCCAUUGAUACUGUUAGUCUUGAGUACAGUUGAGNUAGGCGGAAUGUGUCAUGUAGCGGUGAAAUGCUUAGAUAUGACACAGAACACCGAUUGCGAAGGCAGCUUGCUAAGCUGUAACUGACGCUGAGGCACGAAAGCGUGGGGAGCAAACA